ensembl:lncRNA
GCCUUUUGAGUCACUGUACUAAAUUAUACUCCUGUAAAUUCGGAUAUUUUACUUCUUGAGUUGCUGACAAACUGAUUUCCAUAGUAGCUGUAUUUUAAAUUCCUCCAAUGUAUUAGGGUUCCAAUUUUUCCACAUUCUUGCCAACACUUGUUAUUGUGUAUAUUUUUGGUUAUUGCCUUGGCUGUUAUCCACUACCACAAGCAGCUGCAAGAUUAAACAACUGUCUUUAAUUGUGAUUACCAUCUCCUGUGGAAAGUCUCUUCACACUGGGUAAACGUUGAGUCAGAUCAAAUAAAGGCAGGCUUCCUAGUGAAAGUGGGGUUUUUCAGAGCCACCAGAUGGGUCAAAUAACCACAUUUCUCUGGUAGUGAGUAAAGAUGGAGCUCCAACCUAGUUUUGCCACCUCCAGUGGCUGUCAGUUGCUGGUUUUAUUGUAGUUGCAGCUGUUGGAUUAGAGGCAACCACAGUCACAGAGAUGGGUGGAUGGAAAUAAGAUAAAACACCACAAAGCUAUUUGUUCUUAUACAGCUUCAGUCAUUUUUUCCUUGAAAAAAUUUCUCCUGAAUUGCUGCCUACCUUUGGUUAUUCGGGAGCACUGACAAAGUUAAUUCUGACAAUUUUUGCCAAUCUUCUUGUUGGUUUUAUGGAGGAGAAAAUUUUCAAGAGUACUUUGUCAUUUCUGCUGACUCUAUUGGGUCUUUUUUUUUUUUUUCGAGGAAGAUUAGCUCUGAGCUAACUGCUGCCAAUCCUCCUCUUUUUACUGAGGAAGACUGGCCCUGAGCUAACAUCUGUGCCCAUCUUCCUCUACUUUAUAUGUGGGACGCCUACCACAGCAUGGCUUUUGCCAAGCGGUGCCAUGUCCACACCCGGGAUCCGAACCAGCGAACCCCGGGCCAGCAAAGCAGAACAUGCGAACUUAACCUCUGUGCCUCCAGGCUCAGCCACUAUUGGGUCUUAACCCUGGUUUGGACUGUGAACUUUGUCUUCUGUCCUCGACACCCCACGAGAAACACAAAGCUGAAGUUUGCCUGAUAAUACCAAUGCUGUUAAGGUAAAAGUGACUUUUACUUCUUCGCUUUAUAUCUUCACCCAUCUUUUGGCUUACUGUGUUCAUUUUGUCUUCUCAGAUCUUUAAUACUUUGAAGAAGACAUAUUCACAUGUCUUUUUAUAGUAUGGUUAUUUGAAUUCAACAUCAUGUUUAGCUCACAUGUAUCGAGAGCAAUCUGACAGAAAUGAAAGUCUGAAUGAUAGCUGUAUAAUUUAAGAUGCAAAAAACCUGAGCUUCAUUAUGUUUAAGAGGGAAAGCCUGUGGAGAGAGAGUGAUUGAAAACACUUGAAAUCAGGUAUAAAUGAUGAAGCAUUUUGACAGAGAUGAUUGGAGUAUAAGUUGGAGAAUAUCCUUGGAAAGAAACAGUUAGGCCUUACCAUUCUUGAGUAAUUCACAAAUGUAUUUGUGAAGGUCUCUCCAGAGGAGAGCUAGUGUCAUACCUCUAAUCUGAGAUUUCUGGUGGAAGUCCUACAUGACUCUGGCCUUUGCUUUGUGCAUGCAUGACAAGAAUGAGUUUGUGUGUCAUGGUAACUUACUCAACGAUGAGAAUUGAUUUCACCAGUCUGCGAGAGAUAAAUGUAACAUUCCCCACCCUUCUUGCUGGUCCAAUGCUGGGAUGAGACUCUAUGUGCUGGAAUAAGCAACAUGUUCAAGAUCAGGGUGUGUGUCACUUGGUCCUGGAAUCCACAGCUGUGGCCGCAGCUUCCUGAGAUUGCAGCUUCUUGAUCACUGUACUCACAGAAGAAACACUACUGACCAUCCUCUGUGCUGUGGUUUUAGAAGUCCCUUCUAUAAGCUCAGUUUUAAGUUAUUUUCUUACUCCUUUUUAAAAGACCAGUUAGGAUGGUUUCUCUCUUGCCUUUUUUUUUUCUUCUUUUGCCAUUUUCUGCAACCUGAAUAAGAUACAUGCCAAAAUCUUAAAAAUGGCUGUCUAGGAUUAAAUCCACAGAAUAACUGCUUCAUGUUGCCUGUUUUCUAUUUUACAUUUGUAUAUUCUUUUAUUUGUUACAAUAUAUGAGUGACACUUUAACAUUUAUUUUAAGUCAUUUUAUAUUUACAUCUUGGAAAAAUUUAGAAAAUAUUAAAACUUUUUACUUGUCAAAAUUUUACUUAUGUUCCAUCAUUUUUCAUAAAUUUAUGUAUUUAUGAAAAUAAUACAACUAUCUGCUUGGGAAAAAAAGCUUUAAAGUUCAACUCAAACUAAUUCAAUCUAUAAAGUUAAAAACUCAAAAUUUUUGUCCCCUGCCCUGUUCAACUGUCUUCCCUUAGUCAACUGUUUCCCACAUUUUUUCUUGCGUUUACCUUUAUAUUUUAAAAAUAACAUAUUGAUGCUGCUAUCUCUUGAUUCAUAGUUCCAGAUAUAACUCAAGGACUUUCUAAUAACGAGAUUAAGUACUUACCUUGCAGAGAGCAUUAUCUUCCCUACACACGAACUUUUCUGAUUUUCAUCCUCCAAAUAAAGUAAUAAUACCUUAAUAUUGUUUUAAAUCAUUAUUCAGGGACUAUAUUUAUAUAAUUUUUAAAUAUUUAUCACUUAUAAACCUAUAAACUGAAACUAUAUUUUUCCCUGUUUAUCCUUUAUUUUUUAAAAAAAUAGAUUAAUCAUUGACUUAUUUUUAUGGUAGUUAUGUUUCAUUUUUGCCAAGCUUUAAUUUUUCAAAAUUGUCCAAUAGUUUUUCAAUAUUUUUUCUCCACCCGAUCCUUAUUUUCGCCCUGGAGUAUUUGGACUCUGUUCACUCUGGGUUCACGUUAUUCUCUCUAGGCGCACUAUUGACCUUCAAUGGCUCUUCACCAUCACCCUGGAAAUUUCAUUCAACUCUGCUUAUUUUGUAGAUUGUGUUUCCUGGAUCUUAUGUCCUCAAUAUUUUGGCCUUGCUCUCACAUCUUUUUGGAAUGCGUCUUCUACAAACUUCCUGUAAAAGGGAGAACAACAUAUGCAUUUUGGAGAUUUUACAUAUCAGAAAAUAUAUUUUCAUACUUGAAUAAGCAUUUCUCUACAUUAAAAUACCAAAUUGAGAAAAGUUUUGUCUAAGAAAGAGGUUUGCUUUGCAUUGUCAUUUGCUAAUUUUUCUAUUAAAAACAGGCUGCAAUGUCACUACUUCAUUUUUUAUAGAUGAUCUAUUAUUUCCUUCCCUUUAUCCCUCUGUUAAUACGUCGGUUCUCCUUAAAAGAUUGCAGUCAAAUCUUUCACUCUGUUUAUAGCGUGAUUUAUUCCUUUUCCUCCUUUCAUUACACCUAUUGUCUAAACUAUCUUGGUCUUUAUGGUGAUGUUUUAACAGAAAGUAAGACUUCUUACUGUAAGCACUUAGAUCUCAGCUUAUUACCCUGUUAUAUCAGUUAAAAUACUCCCAUAAAUAUUGUCUUUCCGAAAUAUAUUAAAAACUCUCCAGUGCCACUGUCUCCUGUCCCUUUCCAUUUACACCAAUGGUUAUAUAUAAUCCUGUCUUGUGUCCUAAGAAAGGAAUGUACUAAAUGCUUAUGUUUAAAAUGCCAAGUUUGACCAAAGUCAUAUGAAGGUAUCAUCACAAAUUAGAAUGUAUUGUCCCAGUCCCUUGUUUUGAUAUUUGUAUCAUCUUUAUUGUGUUCUCAGUUUCUCGCACUUUAUGAAUAGGAAACAUUUGCUUUUUUUCUUGAUGAUAUUUCCAGGCUUGUAAAAAUAUUUGGCAUGUAUAAUCAUUUUUGUUACCAUUGCUGUCAGUGGUAACCUAUUGAAUACUUAACAUGUGCCAAUCGAUUUGCAAAAUGUUUUAAAUUAUGUUUUGUUUUUAAACUAUUAAAAAAAGAAAAAAGAAAGUGACCAAAUUAAAAACUCAGUAGAUAAGUUUGACAGCAGAUUGAAAAAAAUAUAUAGAAAAUUAGAGAACUGAAAAGUUAGAUCAAAAUAAAUUAUCU